UACGAAGGGUGCAAACGUUGCUCGGAAUUAUUGGGCGUAAAGCGCACGUAGGCGGCUUUGCAAGUCGGAUGUGAAAUCCCUCGGCUCAACCAAGGAAGUGCAUCCGAAACUGCAGAGCUUGAGUACCAAAGAGGAUCGCGGAAUUCCCGGUGUAGAGGUGAAAUUCGUAGAUAUCGGGAGGAACACCAGUGGCGAAGGCGGCGAUCUGGGUGGAUAAUGACGCUGAGGUGCGAAAGCGUGGGGAGCAAACAGG
rnacentral:rRNA from 1 species